rnacentral:misc_RNA from 1 species
GAUGAAGAACGUAGCGAAAUGCGAUAAGUAGUGUGAAUUGCAGAAUUCAGUGAAUCAUCGAGUCUUUGAACGCACAUUGCGCCCCCUGGUAUUCCGGGGGGCAUGCCUGUCCGAGCGUCAUUGCUGCCCUCAAGCACGGCUUGUGUGUUGGGCCCCGUCCCCUCCCCCGGGGACGGGCCCGAAAGGCAGCGGCGGCACCGCGUCCGAUCCUCGAGCGUAUGGGGCUUUGUCACCCGCUCUGUAGGCCCGGCCGGCGCCAGCCGACACCCAACUUUUAUUUCUAAGGUUGACCUCGGAUCAGGUAGGGAUACCCGCUGAACUUAAGCAUAUCAAUAAGCGGAGGA